rnacentral:rRNA from 1 species
CUCGUAGGUGGCCAAUUAAGUCAGGCGUGAAAUCCCCAGGCUCAACUUGGGAACUGCGUCUGAUACUGGUUGGCUUGAAUUCGGGAGAGGGAUGCAGAAUUCCAGGUGUAGCGGUGAAAUGCGUAGAUAUCUGGAGGAAUACCGGUGGCGAAGGCGGCAUCCUGGACCGAGAUUGACACUGAGGAGCGAAAGCCAGGGGAGCAAAACGG